CCUACGGGAGGCAGCAGUGGGGAAUAUUGCACAAUGGGGGAAACCCUGAUGCAGCGACGCCGCGUGAGUGAAGAAGUAUUUCGGUAUGUAAAGCUCUAUCAGCAGGGAAGAAAAUGACGGUACCGGAUUGAGAAGCCCCGGCUAACUACGUGCCAGCAGCCGAGGUAAUACGUAGGGGGCAAGCGCUAGCCGGAUUUACUGGGGGUAAAGGGAGCGUAGACGGCAGCACAAGUCUGGAGGGAAAUGCCGGGGCUUAACCCCGGAACUGCUUUGGAAACUGUGCAGCUAGAGUGCAGGAGAGGUAAGUGGAAUUCCUAGUGAAGCGGUGAAAUGCGUAGAUAUUAGGAGGAACACCAGUGGCGAAGGCGGCUUACUGGACUGUAACUGACGUUGAGGCUCGAAAGCGUGGGGAGCAAACAGGAUUAGAUACCCGUGUAGUC
rnacentral:rRNA from 1 species